CUACGGGGGGCUGCAGUGAGGAAUAUUGCACAAUGGGGGGAACCCUAAUGCAGCAACGCCGCGUGGAGGAUGACGCAUUUCGGUGUGUAAACUCCUCUUAUAUGUCAAGAAAAUGACGGUAGCAUAUGAAUAAGCGCCGGCUAACUCCGUGCCAGCAGCCGCGGUAAUACGGAGGGCGCAAGCGUUACUCGGAAUCACUGGGCGUAAAGGACGCGUAGGCGGGUUGAAAAGUCAGGUGUGAAAGCCUACAGCUUAACUGUAGAACUGCACUUGAAACUCUCAAUCUAGAGUAUGGGAGGGGCAGAUGGAAUUAGUGGUGUAGGGGUAAAAUCCGUAGAUAUCACUAGGAAUACCUAAAGCGAAGGCGAUCUGCUGGAACAUUACUGACGCUAAGGCGUGAAAGCGUGGGGAGCAAACAGGAUUAGAUACCCGAGUAGUC
rnacentral:rRNA from 1 species